UCAGUUGGUUAGAGCGUCAGAUUGUGGUUCUGAAUGUCGUGGGUUCGAGUCCCACUAGUCACCC
rnacentral:tRNA from 1 species